CCAUUCUCCAUCACUGUAGAAACCAGUAAGUCUAUUCCCAUUCUCCAUCACUGUAGAAACUAGUAGGUCUGUUCCCAUUCUCAAUCACUGUAGAAACUAGUAGGUCUGUUCCCAUUCUCCAUCACUGUAGAAACCAGUAGGUCUGUUCCCAUUCUCCAUCACUGUAGAAACCAGUAGGUCUGUUCCCAUUCUCAAUCACUGUAGAAACUAGUAGGUCUGUUCCCAUUCUCCAUCACUGUAGAAACUAGUAGGUCUGUUCCCGUUCUCCAUCCGUGUAGAAAUUAUAUUAUUAUUUGAUCAGUGGCAUUCUGGGAUAUUUUACAUU
ensembl:lncRNA